AAUAAAGGUCUUUCAUGUCCCAGGGAGAUGCUGUUGACAUGGUAAAUUUCUAUGAUAAUUUUUUCUUUGCUGAGCAAGGUUAGUUGUAAGCAAUUGCAGGGUUUAUGUCAUAUCUAAAUGGUAUUCCUUUCAAGCACAUAAAUGGUCUUUACUGACAGGAAGCCAUGCAAAUGUUCCCCUUUUACAAUUUACUGAAAUUGCUUGUUAUUUUUAGAGGGAGUCAGGCAUUAGUGAACUCAGUGCUGAAAACAAGUCUUUCAUAAGCUGACAGCUUAAAAUUCAACAUAAAUUGUACCAUUUCUAAUACCAAUAAUUCCAGCAGAUUUUAUAUUGUGCUUUAUAAUUUUCAAUAACAUUUUUAAAAUGUGCCCUGAAUAGUCCUGAGUGAUACUAGGGCAGCCAUCAUCCCAUUUUUAUAGAUGGAUAAACUGAGGCACUGGAGGGUGAAGUGACUUGCUCAGGGUCCCAGAGAAACUAACAGAGUUCAGGUCAUGUGACUCUUAUCAGUUACAUGUUUAACAUAUAUUAUCUGUUUCUCCUUUACAAUUCUCUUGCAGCGUAACUACAAUAAUCACCAUGUUACAGAUAAGGAAACUGAAACUAUGAAAAUUUCAGUAAUAUAUCCAAGAUCACACAGUUGCAAAUGGAUUUGGAGUUCAAUCUCAGGUUUUAUGUCUGUAAAGACAGUGUUUGUUUUCCUGCCUUGUCCUGGAAACGUUAUUCCCCAGACUUGGUCCUUUAUGUAUGUGUUUCUCCUUCUCCCAUAUAUACUGCCCAGACAUUUUCAAGAGGAGAGCUUGUCCUUAGGGUAAGGAAGGCAGGACUUCUCACUGGCUCUGUUUUUUUUCUUCUCAGUCACUUUUCAACAUCUCCUUUUACCUCCCAAGAGUGCUUCAGAUAUACCUUCUCUCUUUCCUCCUAACUCGUAGAGGACCUGGCUUUGUGAGCCCUUGAAAAAUUCCAUACGAACUCCUCCUGACCAGUGGAUCAGGGAAUAAGCUAUUUGCUGUAACAGGAGGUUUCUUAUUUGGAUAGUUUCUUGAGUUUCCAUCCAACAUCAUACACUCCAGGAUCUAUAGCUGGUACUUCCCUUCCCAUCUCCUCAGAGCAUGGCUCUGUGAACUGUGUAUGCCCCUUAACUGAACAUUUAGCUAUCUCUUCUGGAAGUGUUCUUCAUUUGGGGAUUUUCUUGACCAGAAUAAACACCCAUUUCGCCUAUACUGCCACGGGUUUCUUGCUGUCCUGUUUCAUGGUCAUAACCUGAAGACUUGUCUUUCCCCAGCUUAAUAUCCUUCAAUUCACCAUUGUCUUCAGGGUAAUGUAUACACCCCCAACAUGCCAUUCAAGGUAUUCACAAACUGAACUCGUCUUUUUCUCAGCUGAAUUAUUGUAGUUCCACAUCUCUUCCACUCCUUGCUUUACCUCAGUCUACUUCAAAUAUAUCAAACUGUAACCAAGUACCUCUAUUUUUUAAAGAAAAAGAGAAUGAGUUACUUCUAAAAUUAUUUUCUUUUCUCUUUUCUCCAUUUUCCUCUGUUCCCCACUUCCUACUUAGCCCUUUAGAAAUGCCAUUAUAGCCUUCCACCUCCCCUUCACCAGACACUCCCUACAGGACAAAUUCAUCUAACUAUGUGUUUAGAAGCUCUAGGGCAGAACUUUCACCCACCAGAACAUUGCCUCCAGAGAUGACAGUCAAUUUACAACCCAGCAUCCUGCUAUGAAACUCUCCUCCAUCUAGAGAGUUUUUGGCCACCUGUACGACCUAUUUCUGCCCUUGAGGAUGCCAACUCGACUGCCUGGUAGAUAAGGCACCAAGCUAGCACACGGAUCCCCACACCACCUGAUGACUUCCCCCCCAACUUUAUGAAAGUGCCCACUUUCUGCUCCAAAAGCAAAAUGGUACCCUUUAGGCAGAAAGCCUGUACUUCUUCCCCUAAGCUAGCUUUAGAAUAAAAGUCACUUUCUUUAUUCCAGACCUCGCUCUUGUUAAUUGGAUUCUGCAAGUGGCAAGUGACUGAACCUGCUUUUGGUUACAACACUACUCACUCUGUGCUUUUUGGACACUUCCUCCUCAUGAGCAUUUGUUUCAGUCUUUAGGAUACUCCUGUACCAAUCUCUACUUGAAAAAUUCUCUCUCAGGAUGUGAGGGUUAUCUGGCUGUGACAUCUGUCACCCCAUGAUAACCAGGGUUGACUCAGCUGGUCUGGCUGGAGAGGCGGGUGUCCACUUCCUCCCUCACUGCUCCAUAUGUAUCCCUCCGGAAGCUGUGCGUUUGGUCGAGGAGGGUGACAUUCCCCAACAGAUGAGCAGCUGCAUUCCCCUGCUAGAACCUCCAGAGAAGCUCUCAAAAUUCCCCCUCAUCUUUGAAGCACCAACUCAAAUACUUUUUCUUCUGUGAAGCCUUUUUAAAUGCCUCAAUACAGAUUUAGUGACUUUUUUCCCUUGGAGUUUCACUGCACCUAAUGUGUGUCUCUGUUAUUGGAAUCAA
rnacentral:lncRNA from 10 species